rnacentral:rRNA from 1 species
GAUGAACGCUGGCGGCGUGCCUAAUACAUGCAAGUCGAGCGAACAGACGAGGAGCUUGCUCCUCUGACGUUAGCGGCGGACGGGUGAGUAACACGUGGAUAACCUACCUAUAAGACUGGGAUAACUUCGGGAAACCGGAGCUAAUACCGGAUAACAUGUUGAACCGCAUGGUUCAACAGUGAAAGACGGUCUUGCUGUCACUUAUAGAUGGAUCCGCGCCGCAUUAGCUAGUUGGUAAGGUAACGGCUUACCAAGGCAACGAUGCGUAGCCGACCUGAGAGGGUGAUCGGCCACACUGGAACUGAGACACGGUCCAGACCCCUACGGGAGGCUGCAGUAGGGAAUCUUCCGCAAUGGGCGAAAGCCUGACGGAGCAACGCCGCGUGAGUGAAGAAGGUCUUCGGAUCGUAAAACUCUGUUAUUAGGGAAGAACAAAUGUGUAAGUAACUAUGCACGUCCUGACGGUACCUAGUCAGAAAGCCACGGCUAACUACGUG